rnacentral:lncRNA from 1 species
CCCUCGCCGCCGCCGCGAAGAGCCAGACGCCUCGCGCCGCCCGCAGAGUAGGGGAUCCUGCUCGCUGCCUUCCCUGGAAACCUACCCAGGCGAUGGAGCAUGCGCAGGCGGCUCCUCCGCGGGCGAGCCCUCCGUGUGGUCCAUGGGGAGCGCUCCGGUUAUCCGGGUUUUAGGACGCGCUUUGAGGGACGUACGUGGAGACUGAGGAAAACCGGAGGGGAUUACUACGGGGACGAGGAAUGGAGGGGUCAGGAGGCGGGGCCGAGGAGAAGGGAGGAGGGGUCCUGGGAAAAUGGGCUGCGUUUCACAGGCCUAGAUGAAACACCUCCUCAAUGGGUGUUUUCCAAGCGGCUUCCCGCUCACUCUGGGUUCCCAGCUAUUUUCAUUCAUUCAAACGUUCCCUGGGCGCCUCCUUUAUGCUAAUCUCGGCGUUUGGUGCAGGAGCGCCAGAGAUGUCUGGGGUUCGGGCAAGUGACACGUCGGGGACUGUCUUCAUUCAUUACACCCCCCCAUGCUAAUGAGGAGGCCCUUCCAGAGCUCCUCAAGCGGAAAACUUUUGCAGUUGAGCUCUCUCGCCUUAGCGUUCUCCUUGGGUGUGAAAUGAGGUCAAGCCAAGGCCUCUAGCAAAGACACCCCUAAUGGCCACCUCGCAGACACACGCCAGAGCGCGGAGUAGUUCUCUCCAGAAGGGAAAACUGCCUUGGAAUUGAGAGCCACAUUCUCCCACCUCCGAGUCUGCCCAGAGGACCCGAUCAAAGCUCUUGCCGCUCGCGUGCUGCAUGGCCUCUCUAAGACCCCAUCGCAGCCACCACCGUGUGUGAGCCCAGAGAUUCCCAGAUCCAGCACUGCCUCCCGCAGGGAGCCCCAAAACCCGGAGAACUGGAAUUCGCCGCCCGAAACCUGUUGAAGGCGCUGCAGGAUUGGCGCGGCCCGCGCGAGCGGCACUGCGCAUGUACCCAAUGCGGGCAGUCCAGUCUCACGCUACACCUCCUUCCCACCGCCUUCCACUACUCGGCUCAGACACAACACGGCCGUGGGAAAUUUCCUAAACCUCGCGAGAACGUGCCCCUGUUGCCUAAGCUUUCGCCCCAAAUCUCGCGGAGCCAAGGCAGGACAGGUGUUUGCCUAGACCAGCUCCGGGCGCCGUUCGUGCAGCGCGUGCCCGGGAGGCGGGCGGCGGGCGGCGGGCGCGGGCGGGGUGGGAAGGGAGCGGCUUGCCGCGGAGGCGGGGCGGGAAGGCGCGUGGCUGGGAGCACGGGGCGGAGGGCGGCGGGGGAGGAGACCCGCGUCUCGCACACAACACGCACACGCCCUGUGACGCUGGAUGGAAGACGAGGGGUGGGGAGCCUCGAACGGAGGAAGGGGAAGCCAGGAGGUUUCCUGUCGCCCUCCACAAGCCUGGUACUUUCCUAAAACGUGUUAGACACCGCGCCCCCCGCCUCCGGGAGCUGACAGACAGCCUCCAGAGUCGGGUUUGAGUCAUGCCUUGAGUCACCUAGUCUGGCCACUACUUCGCUUACUUUGAAACAAGUUCUGAUUCCUUAGCUACUCUACUUUAGCAAUUGGUUUCUUUUUUUUUUUUUUUUUUUUUUUUUGAGACGGAGUCUUGCUCUGUCGCCUAGGCUAGAGUGCAGUGGCGCGAUCUCGGCUCACUGCAAGCUCCGCCUCCUGGAUUCACGCCAUUCUCCUGCCGCAGCCUCCUGAGUAGCUGGAACUACAGGCGCCCGCCACCACGCCCGGCUAAUUUUUUCUAUUUUUUAGUAGACGGAGUUUUACCAUGUUAGUCAGGAUGGUCUCGAUCUCCUGACCUCGUGAUCCGCCCGCCUCGGCCUCCCAAAGUGCUGGGAUUACACGUGUGAGCCACCGCGCCUGGCAGCAAUUGGUUGUUUUCUUUCUAAUCUACCCGCUGGCCCUGUGAGCUGGGUAGAAAAAUAAAUAAAUAAAUAAAUAAACAGCUCUGCGCUCUCGCCUUGUUGCCUUGUAUAGAUUCUUGCUCCCGUUUAAGGACACGAUUUUUAAAAUUUCUUGUCAGUCUCUUCUUAGCCUUUUGAAGUAAUCUUACAAAUCAGUUUCUGUUUUUUCCUCCCACUAAUAUGGCUUUUUUGCUUUCCGUCACCUUUCCGUAUUUUUAUUGCAAUAUUCCAUUUUACGUAUGGCUGCGGCAGGUGCUAUAGUGACUACUGUUUUAAAUGCAGCCCUUCCUUUUGGAUCAUUCAUCCAAUGAGUUCCUGAUUACGUAAAUUCUUCAAUCAGCCACGUUUCAGAUUGGCCCUGAUGUGGUUUCUAUACCAGCCUUAGCCUGGCAUUAUCUAGGAACCAGUGUCUUCCUGCUCACGUCACAGCCCCGCAAAUGUAGAGUUGAAUUGAAUUUUGAUAUUUGGAGGACAGUGAGUUCUCUAAUAGGAAACCCUGGUUUUUAAGUUGUUUUCAAGGUUUUAGGGGUGUGUGUGUGUGUGUGUGUGCGUGUGUGUGUGUUUGUGUUUGCCUAUUGAUUAUAUACACAAAAAAACAGACUUAAAACCAUUUGGUGCAAUAUCUCAGUGCAAGUCUGGCUUGGAACAGGAUAGCUCAGGAGGAGGACAAAGCCCUUGGGGCACAUAUUCCUUGGAGCUGUCAUCCCAAGAAGGUAUUUCAGUCAUGGCCUAGUCCAGACCACUGAUCUAAUUUGGAAUCAUGGCCUUCUGAGAGCCCCAGCGACCUUGGGAAGCCAUGGUAACCACAAAGGGAAUAACAGCUCCCCCUUUUUGCCCUAAAACAUGCUCCAUCUGCAGCCCUCCCCCAUCUCAGGAAAGGACAACUCCAUUCUUCCACUUAUGUCAAGAACCUUGGAGUCCUUGCCUCCUUUCUCACACCCAAGAUACAAUUGGACGGAAAAUCCUAUUGGCUCCACCUUCAGAAUAUACUCACAUUCCAAAUACUGUCACACCUCUUUAGCUACUAGCCUAGUCUAACCCAUCUUAUUUCCCACCUGGUUUAAGGAAGUUCCCUAACUGGUCCUCCCUUCUUCCGUUCUUGUCUUCCCGCAGUCUGUGCUAAUAGAGCAUUCUCAGUGGCCCUCUAGAACUCCUCCAUGACUUUCCCAUUUCACUAUGAGGACUUAGACAAUCUUGCCUACUGCCAAACCCCCCCUGAUCUAUCUGCCUUCACCUCCUCCUCUACCUCUCACUCUGUGGGCUCUCACCAGUUGCCUUCCUUACUGUUCCUGGGAUGCCCCAAGCACACUUUCAGCUCCAAGCCUUUGCUUUUUCCACUACCUGGAAUGCUCUUCCCUCAUAUACCUUAUAGCUCAUUCCCUCACUCCUUUCUUGUCUUUGCCUGAUGUCACCUCCUCAGGGAGGCCUUCCCUGACACCCUUCCCAAGAGGGACUCCCAUACUCCUUAUCCCCCUUUCUGCUUGAUUUUGUCCAUGGCACCUAUCAUUAACUAACAUAACAUUUAUCAUACUUGUGUGUUGUGUUUACUAUCUGCCUCCUUCCAUUAUAAUGUAAUAUUAAUAAGGGCAAGGACUUUUGUCUAGUUUGUUCAUUAUUCAAGCCUUAGCUGCUGGAACAAUGCCUGCUGUAUUAUAUUUGUAGAAUGAAUGGGGUGUCUUCCACUUUAGGGCAGAGUAAAAAUGAUUCUGAAGACUAAGCCUCCUAGGGUUCAAAACAAUAUUAGGACUAGACUAGCAGUGAGUACUAGCCUGCCUAGGGAGGAGAAAAAGGCAUAUGGAGCAACCACCUGUGUUGGUUUUUUGCAAAAAAAAAA